GCUCAGGAUGAACGCUGGCGGCGUGCCUAACACAUGCAAGUCGAGCGAUCUCUUCGGAGAGAGCGGCGGACGGGUGAGUAACGCGUGGGUAACCUGGCCUGUACACACGGAUAACAUACCGAAAGGUAUACUAAUACGGGAUAACAUAUGAAAGUCGCAUGGCUUUUGUAUCAAAGCUCCGGCGGUACAGGAUGGACCCGCGUCUGAUUAGCUAGUUGGUAAGGUAAUGGCUUACCAAGGCAACGAUCAGUAGCCGACCUGAGAGGGUGAUCGGCCACACUGGAACUGAGACACGGUCCAGACUCCUACGGGAGGCAGCAGUGGGGAAUAUUGCACAAUGGGCGAAAGCCUGAUGCAGCAACGCCGCGUGAGCGAUGAAGGCCUUCGGGUCGUAAAGCUCUGUCCUCAAGGAAGAUAAUGACGGUACUUGAGGAGGAAGCCCCGGCUAACUACGUGCCAGCAGCCGCGGUAAUACGUAGGGGGCUAGCGUUAUCCGGAAUUACUGGGCGUAAAGGGUGCGUAGGUGGUUUUUUAAGUCAGAAGUGAAAGGCUACGGCUCAACCGUAGUAAGCUUUUGAAACUAGAGAACUUGAGUGCAGGAGAGGAGAGUAGAAUUCCUAGUGUAGCGGUGAAAUGCGUAGAUAUUAGGAGGAAUACCAGUAGCGAAGGCGGCUCUCUGGACUGUAACUGACACUGAGGCACGAAAGCGUGGGGAGCAAACAGGAUUAGAUACCCUGGUAGUCCACGCCGUAAACGAUGAGUACUAGGUGUCGGGGGUUACCCCCCUCGGUGCCGCAGCUAACGCAUUAAGUACUCCGCCUGGGAAGUACGCUCGCAAGAGUGAAACUCAGAGGAAUUGACGGGGACCCGCACAAGUAGCGGAGCAUGUGGUUUAAUUCGAAGCAACGCGAAGAACCUUACCUAAGCUUGACAUCCCACUGACCUCUCCCUAAUCGGAGAUUUCCCUUCGGGGACAGUGGUGACAGGUGG
rnacentral:rRNA from 1 species